UAUUGGUUUUAAUUUUUUUCUGAAUUUCAAUUAGAAUUAGCAAUUAUAUAUGAUACUUGCUAAUACAUUGCCUAAAGUAAUUAUUUACAAUAGCAUUGUCUCCUUGAAAUAUAUAUUGUAGGAAUAUUUAAUAAUUUCAUAACAUAUUAGAUCGAAAUUUCGAGAAAUAAAAAUUGGAAGUGCCGAGUAAAGUAUCGCGCAUUUUAGUGCGGGAGUGUCGAAUAAAAUAUCGCGCGUUUUAGUGCGAGAGUGUCGUUUAAAAUGUCGUGCGUUUCAACUUUUGACCAUCCUGACCAGGCUGAGAGGAGGAGCAGGGUCAGGGGGCAUCGGGCAUCGUCGAAGUAACUCUAGAAUUAAUUCAAGCGCUCCUGGGACAAUACGACGGAGCCCAGUGGGACCGUACGUGGGGACAGGU